rnacentral:rRNA from 1 species
UACGUAGGGUGCAAGCGUUUGUCCGGAAUUAUUGGGCGUAAAGAGCUCGUAGGCGGUUUGUCGCGUCGAAUGUGAAAACCCGGGGCUCAACCCCCGGGCCUGCAUUCGAUACGGGCAGACUAGAGUUCGGUAGGGGAGUCUGGAAUUCCUGGUGUAGCGGUGAAAUGCGCAGAUAUCAGAGGAACACCAACGGCGAAGGCAGCACUCUGGGCCGGUACUGACGCUGAGGAGCGAAAGCGUGGGGAGCAAACAGG